ACAUGUCAAUUCCGUGACGGUAACAGCAUCCAGUCUUGCUGGAAUGCUGACGAGCGGCGGUACGGGUGAGUAAUGCUUAGGAAUCUGCCCAGUAGUGGGGGGUAGCCCGGGGAAACCCGGAUUAAUACCGCAUACGUCCUACGGGAGAAAGCAGGGGAUCUUCGGACCUUGCGCUAUUGGAUGAGCCUAAGUCGGAUUAGCUGGUUGGUGGGGUAAAGACCUACCAAGGCGACGAUCCGUAGCUGGUUUGAGAGGAUGAUCAGCCACAUCGGGACUGAGACACGGCCCGAACUCCUACGGGAGGCAGCAGUGGGGAAUAUUGGACAAUGGGGGCAAGCCUGAUCCAGCCAUGCCGCGUGUGUGAAGAAGGCCCUCGGGUUGUAAAGCACUUUCAGCGAGGAAGAACGCCUGGCGGUUAAUACCCGCCAGGAAAGACAUCACUCGCAGAAGAAGCACCGGCUAACUCCGUGCCAGCAGCCGCGGUAAUACGGAGGGUGCAAGCGUUAAUCGGAAUUACUGGGCGUAAAGCGCGCGUAGGUGGCUUGAUGAGCCGGUUGUGAAAGCCCCGGGCUCAACCUGGGAACGGCAUCCGGAACUGUCAGACUAGAGUGCAGGAGAGGAAGGUAGAAUUCCCGGUGUAGCGGUGAAAUGCGUAGAGAUCGGGAGGAAUACCAGUGGCGAAGGCGGCCUUCUGGACUGACACUGACACUGAGGUGCGAAA
rnacentral:rRNA from 1 species